rnacentral:rRNA from 1 species
UUCAAUUCGACGCAACGCGAAGAACCUUACCUGGGCUCGAACGGCUGGUCAACGAUCGUGGAAACACGGUUACUCCGCAAGGGGGUCCAGUCGAGGUGCUGCAUGGCUGUCGUCAGCUCGUGUCGUGAGAUGUUGGGUUAAGUCCCGCAACGAGCGCAACCCUUGUCCUGUUUUGGCAUGUGUCACGUAAGUGGCGCGCAACUAUCAGGAGACCGCCAGCGAUAAGUUGGAGGAAGGUGGGGAUGACGUCAAGUCAUCAUGGCCUUUAUGUCCAGGGCUACACACGUGCUACAAUGGGCGGUACAAAGCGCCGCGAACCCGCGAGGGGGAGCUAAUCGCAAAAAACCGUCCUCAGUUCGGAUCGCAGGCUGCAACCCGCCUGCGUGAAGCUGGAAUCGCUAGUAAUGGCAUAUCAGAACGAUG